AGGUGGCGGAACUGGUAUACGCGCUACCUUGAGGUGGUAGUGGGAGCAAUCCCGUGCGGGUUCGAGUCCCGCCCUGGGCACCA
rnacentral:tRNA from 1 species